CCUACGGGGUGCAGCAGUAGGGAAUUUUCGUCAAUGGGCGCAAGCCUGAACGAGCAAUGCCGCGUGAACGAGGAAGGUCUUCGGAUCGUAAAGUUCUGUUGAAGGGGAAAAAGAGCGGAGAGAGGAAAUGGUCUCCGAUUGAUAUUACCCUUCGAGGAAGUCACGGCUAACUACGUGCCAGCAGCCGCGGUAAUACGUAGGUGGCGAGCGUUAUCCGGAAUGAUUGGGCGUAAAGGGUGCGUAGGCGGCCUGCUAAGUCUGGAGUGAAAGGUACCGGCUCAACCGGUACAGGCUCUGGAAACUGGCGGGCAAGAGAGCAGGAGAGGGCGGUGGAACUCCAUGGGUAGCGGUAAAAUGCGUAGAUAUAUGGAAGAACACCAGUGGCGAAGGCGGCCGCCUGGCCUGUUACUGACGCUGAGGCACGAAAGCGUGGGGAGCAAAUAGGAUUAGAUACCCGAGUAGUC
rnacentral:rRNA from 1 species